GACGAACGCUGGCGGCGUGCUUAACACAUGCAAGUCGAGCGAGGACCGCACUCUUUUGGGUGUGGAGCCGAGCGGCGAACGGGUGAGUAACACGUGAGCAACCUGCCCCUGGCUCUGGGAUAGCCCUGGGAAACCGGGAUUAAUACCGGAUAUGACCGCUGCUCGCAUGGGUGGUGGUGGAAAGGUUCCCCCUUGUGGGGUUCCGGCCAGGGAUGGGCUCGCGGCCUAUCAGCUUGUUGGUGGGGUGACGGCCUACCAAGGCGAUGACGGGUAGCCGGCCUGAGAGGGUGGUCGGCCACACUGGGACUGAGACACGGCCCAGACUCCUACGGGAGGCAGCAGUGGGGAAUAUUGCGCAAUGGGCGAAAGCCUGACGCAGCGACGCCGCGUGGGGGAUGAAGGCCUUCGGGUUGUAAACCUCUUUCGGCAGGGACG
rnacentral:rRNA from 1 species